UGGCGAACGGGUGAGUAACGCGUGGGUAACCUGCCCUGUACAGGGGGAUAACAGCUGGAAACGACUGCUAAUACCGCAUAAGCCCACGGGUCGGCAUCGACCAGAGGGAAAAGGAGCAAUCCGCUGGAAGAUGGACUCGCGUCCGAUUAGUUAGUUGGUGAGGUAACGGCUCACCAAGAUCGCGAUCGGUAGCCGGACUGAGAGGUUGAACGGCCACAUUGGGACUGAGACACGGCCCAGACUCCUACGGGAGGCAGCAUG
rnacentral:rRNA from 1 species